rnacentral:rRNA from 1 species
UACGAAGGGGGCUAGCGUUGCUCGGAAUCACUGGGCGUAAAGCGCACGUAGGCGGCUUUCUAAGUCAGGGGUGAAAUCCUGGAGCUCAACUCCAGAACUGCCUUUGAUACUGGAGAGCUUGAGUCCGGAAGAGGUGAGUGGAACUCCGAGUGUAGAGGUGAAAUUCGUAGAUAUUCGGAAGAACACCAGUGGCGAAGGCGGCUCACUGGUCCGGUACUGACGCUGAUGUGCGAAAGCGUGGGGAGCAACAGG